ACCGCUCGGUUGUAAACGGACAGAGCUCGCGAAUCCCCGCCGGGCGAAUUCACGGUCGGUCUAACCGCCGGCCGGAUCUUUCGCUCGGUUAGCGGACGUCGCGACCCGUUGGGCGCCGGCCGAAUGGCCCGGGUGACGUUCGUCGCGUCGGUCGCGUUUCGGCGUGACCGUUCGCGCCGAGCCCCGGUGCUCAUGGUCGGCUCGCCCGACGGCAAGAACCGUCGACGCGGCCCCGUCGCAGGCGGGGUCCCGUCGGUCGGCGACGUGUUUCGAGCUACUUUCCGACCCGUCUUGAAACACGGACCAAGGAGUCUAACGUGUGCGCGAGUCAACGGUGAUCUUACGAAAAACCACGUUUGGCGCAAUGAAAGUGAACCGUUUACGGUGCGGACGAUGGCCUAGCGACCGAACCCACCGGCGUUCAAAGUCGCGCUGGUCCGCAGUCCGGGGGCGUCUCCGCCAAGUCGGCUUCGGCCGGCUGGGGGCGCACCCUUAGCGCACACGUUGGUACCCGAAAGAUGGUGAACUAUGCCUGGCCAGGAUGAAGUCAGGGGAAACCCUGAUGGAGGUCCGCAGCGAUUCUGACGUGCAAAUCGAUCGUCUGAGCUGGGUAUAGGGGCGAAAGACUAAUCGAACCAUCUAGUAGCUGGUUCCAUCCGAAGUUUCCCUCAGGAUAGCUGGCGCCGAUGUGUCCCGCCCGUUCGCGGGCGUACGGACGCCGGUGGGACUCCGCGCUGUACGGCGCGGUAACAACACGCUCGUAACACGGAGGAUGUCUCAUACGGUAAAGCGAAUGAUUAGAGGACAUUGGGGCCGAAACGACCUCAACCUAUUCUCAAACUAUAAAUGAGUGAGAUCGCCGGCUUUACCUGGUACACCGCGUGAACCGCGUGCGAAGCCGGCGACGGAACCCUAGGCGCUUAGUGGGCCAUUUUUGGUAAGCAGAACUGGCGCUGCGGGAUGAACCGAACGCCGAGUUAAGGCGCCGAAAUCGACGCGUAUUCAGAGACCAUGAAAGGCGUUGGUUGCUGAUGACAGCAGGACGGUGGCCAUGGAAGUCGGAAUCCGCUAAGGAGUGUGUAACAACUCACCUGCCGAAGCAACUAGCUCUGAAAAUGGAUGGCGCUGGAGCGUCGUGCCUAUACUCGGCCGUCGACGGCAUAGUGGGGCCAGUCGUCGCUCGCGGCGGCCGGUCCCGGCAAGCCUCGACGAGUAGGAUGGCGCGGCGGUGUGCGUCGAAGGGCAGGUCGCGAGACCGCCUGGAGCCGCCGUCGGUGCAGAUCUUGGUGGUAGUAGCAAAUACUCGAGAGGGGCCCUCGGGGGCUGCCGUGUAGAAGGGUUUCUUGUGAACAGCCGUUGUCCAAGAGUCAGUCGAUCCUAAGCCCGGGGAGAGAUCCUCGUACCACGGGCGAAUGGCGUUUUUCGAAUCGCCCUUGGGGCGAGAGGGAAUCC
rnacentral:ncRNA from 1 species